rnacentral:miRNA from 1 species
UAUGGGGACAAUACUGGCAUAG